rnacentral:rRNA from 1 species
GACGAACGCUGGCGGCGUGCUUAACACAUGCAAGUCGAACGGAAAGGCCCUGCUUUUGUGGGGUGCUCGAGUGGCGAACGGGUGAGUAACACGUGAGUAACCUGCCCUUGACUUUGGGAUAACUUCAGGAAACUGGGGCUAAUACCGGAUAGGAGCUCCUGCUGCAUGGUGGGGGUUGGAAAGUUUCGGCGGUUGGGGAUUGACUCGCGGCUUAUCAGCUUGUUGGUGGGGUAGUGGCUUACCAAGGCUUUGACGGGUAGCCGGCAUGAGAGGGUGACCGGCCACAUUGGGACUGAGAUACGGAGCAGACUGCUACGGGAGGCAGCAGUGGGGAAUAUUGCGCAGUGGGCGGAAGCCUGAUGCAACAACGCCGCGUGCGGGAUGACGGCCUUCGGGUUGUAAACCGCUUUCGCCUGUGACGAAGCGUGAGUGACGGUAAUGGGUAAAGAAGCACCGGCUAACUACGUG